AUGAUGUACCAUGGGGCACAGCAUCCUGAUAUGAAAAAAAGAGUAGAAGAUGCAUACAUCCUCACAUGCAAUGUGUCAUUAGAAUAUGAAAAAACAGAGGUGAAUUCUGGCUUUUUUUACAAGAGUGCGGAAGAGAGAGAGAAGCUUGUGAAGGCUGAAAGAAAAUUCAUUGAAGAUAGAGUUAAGAAAAUAAUAGAAUUGAAAAAGAAAGUUUGUGGUGAUUCAGAUAAAGGAUUCGUUGUUAUUAAUCAAAAGGGAAUUGACCCCUUUUCCUUAGAUGCUCUUGCAAAAGAAGGUAUAGUAGCUCUGCGUAGAGCUAAAAGGAGAAAUAUGGAAAGGCUGACUCUUGCUUGUGGUGGAGUGGCUCUAAAUUCCUUUGAUGACCUAAGUCCUGAUUGUUUGGGACAUGCAGGACUUGUCUAUGAAUAUACAUUGGGAGAAGAGAAGUUCACUUUUAUUGAGAAAUGUAACAAUCCUCGCUCUGUCACAUUAUUGAUCAAAGGACCAAAUAAGCACACACUCACACAAAUCAAAGAUGCAAUAAGAGAUGGCUUGAGGGCUGUUAAAAAUGCUCUUGAUGAUGGCUGUGUAGUUCCAGGAGCAGGUGCAGUGGAAGUGGCAAUGGCAGAAGCCUUGAUCAAGUACAAGCCCAGUGUAAAGGGCAGGGCCCAGCUGGGAGUUCAAGCAUUUGCUGAUGCAUUGCUCAUUAUUCCCAAGGUACUUGCUCAGAAUUCUGGUUUUGACCUUCAGGAAACACUAGUUAAAGUUCAAGCAGAACAUUCAGAAUCAGGUCAACCUGUCAGUGUGGACCUGAACACAGGUGAGCCAAUGGUAGCAGCCGAAGUAGGCAUAUGGGAUAACUAUUGUGUAAAGAAACAGCUGCUUCACUCCUGCACUGUGAUUGCCACCAACAUUCUCCUGGUUGAUGAGAUCAUGCGAGCUGGAAUGUCUUCUCUAAAAGGUUGAAUUUGAAGCUUCCUUCAUGUCAUCCGAAUCAUGAAGACUAUAGAGUGAUCCUAAGAAUACAGCAACAGAAUUUUUGUCCAAGGUUCAAACAAUUUUCAAAAGCAUUUUCUUUUCCCAUAUUAAAAAAAACACUGACACUUAAAUUCUGAAGUUCUGAAAUUAGAGUAUUUUUUUUAAAUUGCACGGCAGUGUACACCCAUCAAGCAGGCCGUUUUUACCCAAUGAGAAGGAUGUUUGCUUUAGCUUCAGUGAUACAAAAGUCCCGUGUUAGUUAAGUAUAUGUUAUCUACCUUGUUAUUAAAUGUAACUUGAAGAAAAAAAAAAGAAA